rnacentral:rRNA from 1 species
UACGGAGGGUGCAAGCGUUAUCCGGAUUCACUGGGUUUAAAGGGUGCGUAGGAGGGCAGGUAAGUCAGUGGUGAAAUCUCCAAGCUUAACUUGGAACUGCCGUUGAUACUAUCUGUCUUGAAUACCGUGGAGGUGAGCGGAAUAUGUCAUGUAGCGGUGAAAUGCUUAGAUAUGACAUAGAACACCAAUUGCGAAGGCAGCUUACUACACAACGAUUGACGCUGAGGCACGAAGCGUGGGAUCAAACAGGA